GUCUUCACAAUAUUAUCAAGACAAUUGACAGAUCACAACGCCUGUAAACAUUAGAUGAAAUUCAAGACAUUCAAUUUAUUGCACCAAUCUAAACAAUUACAACACCUCCUUCACACCCCCCACCCCCCCUCAAAAGAAAAAAAAAAUUAGUACCAAAUUGAAACAACACCUCUCUCUCUUCCCCUCAAACGAAACAAUCUACUUCUAUACAGCUGGAUGCAUAAGAUCACACUAGAAUCAAUGAUCUUCCCAAGUCUAAACCAAUCCAACGCACAAAUAUAUACACGAAACAAAUUCCAUUAUUCAAUACCUUCCGUUCAAGAAUCGACCCCUAAAUGCAAAACCUAGGGUUAACCUGACCUAAGUCCUAAAGUUUUUCAAUUGACAAUAAAAGCAGUUGAGCACGACUCAAAAACCAAAUUUGCUCAACGAACCUUAAUUGAUUGGAGCUUAAUUGAUUCGCUCAAGGGCAUGACCGCGGCCUCACCGUGCGCUCCGUUCCUCAGGAAACACGGAGGCGGGUAAGGAAAGCACCGUGACAUUUUUCCGGUUAUCUGCCCUGGUUUUUACAAAGAAAACGGUUCAAGAAACUUUUCUUCUUCCUCCUCUUCUUCAAUAAAAGUACCCCUAAGGUUUUCUAAUCAGGUCGCGGCCAAGAAACCCGCGUUCUAGGGUUUUUUAAGAGCGAAAAACUUUUAACUCCAAGCCUCUCGCCCUUCAAUGUUU
rnacentral:misc_RNA from 1 species